GACGAACGCUGGGGCGUGCUUAAGCUACAUGCUUAGAUCGAACGCUAUUCUAUCACCGGCAGACUUGUCUCACGGCAAAGAACAGAGAGUGGCGGAACGGGUGAGUAACACGUGGGUAACCUACCCUCGAGCGGGGGAUAACAUUUGGAAACAGUGUGCUAAUACCGGCCAUAAUAACAGCAAGAAGCAUUUCUUUUGUCUGACAAGUCGCCAACUGCGACACUCGCAGGCAUGGACCCGCGGUGCAUUAGCUAGUUGGUGGGGUAACAGGCUCACCAAGGCCACGAUGCAUAGCCGACCUGACGAGGGUGAUCGGCAACACUAGGUGACUUGAGACAACGUGACCCAGGAAUACCUACCAGGAGAGUGCAGCACAGCAGUAGGGAAUCUUCGGCAAUGGACGAAAGUCUGACCGAGCAACGCCGCGUGAGUGAAGAAGGUUGUCGGAUCGUAAAACUCUGUUGUUAGAGACGAACAAGGGUGAGAGUGGAAAGUUCACCGCUUGACGCUAUCUAACCAGAAAGCCACGACUAACUACGUGCCAGCAGCCGCGGUAGUACGUAGGUGGCAAGCGUUGUCCGGAUUUAUUGGGCGUAAAGC
rnacentral:rRNA from 1 species